UACAUGAUGGAGCUGUGAAAGCGACUAGAGAUACGAAGAGAUGAGAGGGCCCUGCGCCAGCGUGAAUGACAGAUCUGGUUCUUACUCAGCCAUGUGCAGAAACGAGAGAUUCUUUUGCCCGCUCUCUCUCUCUCUUUCUCCUAUCUCGAACAAACACGCUCCCUCUCUUUUGCACUCACCCUCACUCUACCGUCGUUUCUUGUCUUGACUAUCUAUCUCUCUCUCCUGGUCUUCACACCGGCCUAAUACAGAGUAAAAUCUCCAGAAAUGACAAGACGAGCGAGGAAAAAAAAAAAGGGAAAAAAAGUGUGCUGUCUCUAGGUGUGUCCUACCUGAGUGUGCGGAGGCGAGGCUGAGGUCGGAGCAGGGCUGGCCUUCGGGCAUGCCGUGCUGUCGGGUGUGGUGCAGGUUGGAGAUGAUCGUUGAGAGGUCACUGUCACGACUGGAAAAAGGAAAGCAGAGGAGGAAGAAAGCAAGAAGAAGGGAAAGAAAGAGAGAGAGGAAGGGUCGUCUCUUCAAGGCCAACUGAAGGGUUUACAGAUUAGAACUGGACAAGGCCGUUUCCUCAACCUCCCUCCUUCCCCCAUCAUCCUCCCUCACUCAUCCUUCAUUAACCCUUGCAGCUCAGAGGGCCAUUGGACAGACGUGGUGUUCCUCAUGGCAGCGGGAGCGUCGGGGAGGGAAACAGUGCCAGCGCAAGUGCCCCUGCAGUGACACGGGAGACGAGAGCUGGCGCCAGAUAUAGAGGUCACACUGAGAGCUGGCAGACUGGGCAUCCUGACGCCAGGGCUUACACCAUUACUGAACACAGCACUGAUAGUCUCACCCUGACACACACACACAAAGUGGUGCCAAGCAGAAAGUGGGAAGGCAUGUGGAGAGGAUCCCUCCUUUUUACAGAAAGUGACAGACGUUUUGCACUAUGAACUGGCACUGGAAAAUAAGACCAAAAUUGGGUACAAAAAUGGUACAAAACUGAGAAUUUCACCAUUACUUUUA